UGCUGUGUCACGUAUUCAGGAUAUCUACAUCUGCCUGGUGUAGUUUUGGUGUUCGGGGAUGCUAAAAUCAAGUUCGUUCAUCUUCGUUUUCUGCCACAAGAGGAGUGAGCGCGAGAACGAAUGUUGUUCGAAACACUCGGCUAUUAGACACAGCAGUGGUGUCAUGUGUGCUGAGCUUAUUUUGCUGCCGAUGACUACGAAGAAGAUGCCGUAGACGGCGAAUUGCGAAGGCGUCCGAAGCAAAUUGCCGUUCAGUAACCAGUGAUUUUGCUUCACCGAAGUGACGAGUUCAACACAACUCUUAGGGGCUCUCCAGUGUUGAAGUGGCGCCAGACUACUACGUAUUGCGUGAAUCAGGCACUCAAGUUGACAUUACAGAUAUAGCUGAAAGCAGGUUUUACAACUCUAUCAAGUACGUCAAAACAUCAGAGGGCAGGAAGUCCUACUCUGUUUCCUAAAUCCCUGGACAAUAAAAAAGAGAGAUAUAG